rnacentral:rRNA from 1 species
GAUGAACGCUAGCUACAGGCUUAACACAUGCAAGUCGAGGGGCAUCAGGAACAUAGCUUGCUAUGUUUGCUGGCGACCGGCGCACGGGUGCGUAACACGUAUCCAAUCUGUCCGUUACUCGGGGAUAGCCUUUCGAAAGAAAGAUUAAUACCCGAUAGUAUUACUAAGAGGCAUCUUUUUUUAAUUAAAGAUUUAUCGGUAACGGAUGGGGAUGCGUAUGAUUAGUUAGUUGGCGGGGUAACGGCCCACCAAGACUACGAUCAUUAGGGGUUCGGAGAGGAAGGUCCCCCACACUGGAACUGAGACACGGUCCAGACUCCUACGGGAGGCAGCAGUGAGGAAUAUUGGUCAAUGGACGAGAGUCUGAACCAGCCAAGUAGCGUGAAGGAUGACUGCCCUAUGGGUUGUAAACUUCUUUUGUUUGGGAAUAAAGUUAGGUACGUGUACCUAUUUGUAUGUACCAUUCGAAUAAGCAUCGGCUAAUUCCGUGCCAGCCGCCGCCGUAACAC